CAGGGGAUAGUUUAAGUAAAAUAUUAAUUUUGGAGAUUGAAGAAAGAGGUUUUCUUUUCCCUUGA
rnacentral:tRNA from 1 species